UACGUAGGGUGCGAGCGUUGCCCGGAUUCAUUGGGCGUAAAGGGUGCGUAGGCGGCGCGGUAAGUCGGGUGUGAAAUCUCGGAGCUUAACUCCGAAACUGCAUUCGAUACUGCCGUGCUUGAGGACUGGAGAGGAGACUGGAAUUUACGGUGUAGCUGUGAAAUGCGUAGAUAUCGUAAGGAAGACCAGUGGCGAAGGCGGGUCUCUGGACAGUUCCUGACGCUGAGGCACGAAGGUCAGGGGAGCAAACGGG
rnacentral:rRNA from 1 species